GCGCCUGUAGCCUAAUGGAUAGGGCACUUGUCUUCGGAACAAGGUUAUGUGGGGGUUCGACUCCCCCCGGGCGCGCCA
rnacentral:tRNA from 1 species